rnacentral:lncRNA from 1 species
GGGUGAGGAGCGUGGGACAAGGUUGUGAGGCCAAGGGACACCCGGUCCCAUGGUGGUUUGGGGGACAAUCUUCCCCUACCACAACCCACUUCUGACCACAGGCUCUGCCUCUCACCUCCAGUCCAGGUGGGGAAGCUCAACCAGGACGUGGUGGUGAGAUGUGACACUUCAGAGCAGCACAUCUACUGGACACUGAACGGGGAUGAGGAACCCAUGGCUGAACUGGUGCCUGAGGGCCAGAAGCUCACCAUCGUCGGCUUGGACCUGCCAGCCACUGGCAACUACAGCUGCUGGGCUGGCCCUGGUCACCUGCUGGACACCACCUACGUGGUGCUCAGCAGCACCCGCGAGGAGGAGCUCAACGUGUCCUGCCAGGCCGAGUCCUACAACGGCUCCUUCCACUGCUCCUGGCCCGGGCCCCCCUCUGCCAUCUUCCGUGCCCGCCUCAUACGCAGCGAUGGCUCCGUGGGGCCGUGGGUACCGGUGACCAGUGAGCAGGACCAGUUCAGCACCAGUUUGGCAGACACUUUGUUCUGCCCCUUCGGAGAGGAGCUGCGCCCGCUGCAGCUGCACCUGGAGGGGCUUUCGGACACCUCCUACCUCAACCUCUCCAGGCAUUUCUUCCUGCGUGACAUCGGUGAGCUCAGGGCAGGAGAAGUGGGGUGGGGGUGUCCAAGAGGUGCUGGAGGUUUUGGGUGGGGGGUCUCACCCCUGUUCUGAGCCCUCUGUGUGCACAGUGCGUCCUGAGCCGCCCCAGAAGCUGAUCCUGCAGCAGCGAGGGGAGCAGCUCCACCUGGCCUGGGCCCCCCCGGCCUCCUGGCCGCUCCCCAAGUCCUACUUUGCGCUGCUCUACCACCUGCAGUACGAGCUGCACAACGGCAGCCAGGUAAUGGGGGGAUCUCUGCCCCUGUGCGGGCACCCCAUGUGUCCACCCUGUGCCUCUUCCCUUCUUGGGGUGAUCAGUUGUCACCCCUGGGUGUCACCUCUGCUCCCCACAGCGCUGCCGGGCUCGGGGGGUGCUGGUGUCCCCCUCCCCGAGGGUCUCCCCAUGCCAUGCCCUGCUCCUUUUGCAGGUUGAGCAGUUCGUGGAGGGUGUGGAGGAGACGCCGGUGCCGGUGGGAGCGGGGUGGGUGCGGAUCAGCUGCCGGGACCCCUACACCCCCCCGGCCUGGAGCCCCUGGAGCGCCUGGAUGGGCCUCGAUGCACCCCAAUAACGGCGGUUUUGAGGGUGCUGACCCCACAAACCUGCUUUCCCCACAACCCCCAUGCCUUAACAGCUUGGAAAAAGGAUUUUUUUUUUUGC